UGGCGGACGGGUGAGUAAUGUCUGGGAAACUGCCUGAUGGAGGGGGAUAACUACUGGAAACGGUAGCUAAUACCGCAUAACGUCGCAAGACCAAAGAGGGGGACCUUAGGGCCUCUUGCCAUCGGAUGUGCCCAGAUGGGAUUAGCUAGUAGGUGGGGUAACGGCUCACCUAGGCGACGAUCCCUAGCUGGUCUGAGAGGAUGACCAGCCACACUGGAACCGAGACACGGUCCAG
rnacentral:rRNA from 1 species